rnacentral:rRNA from 2 species
CAUUACCGAGUUUACAACUCCCAAACCCCUGUGAACAUACCACUUGUUGCCUCGGCGGAUCAGCCCGCUCCCGGUAAAACGGGACGGCCCGCCAGAGGACCCCUAAACUCUGUUUCUAUAUGUAACUUCUGAGUAAAACCAUAAAUAAAUCAAAACUUUCAACAACGGAUCUCUUGGUUCUGGCAUCGAUGAAGAACGCAGCAAAAUGCGAUAAGUAAUGUGAAUUGCAGAAUUCAGUGAAUCAUCGAAUCUUUGAACGCACAUUGCGCCCGCCAGUAUUCUGGCGGGCAUGCCUGUUCGAGCGUCAUUUCAACCCUCAAGCACAGCUUGGUGUUGGGACUCGCGUUAAUUCGCGUUCCUCAAAUUGAUUGGCGGUCACGUCGAGCUUCCAUAGCGUAGUAGUAAAACCCUCGUUACUGGUAAUCGUCGCGGCCACGCCGUUAAACCCCAACUUCUGAAUGUUGACCUCGGAUCAGGUAGGAAUACCCGCUGAACUUAAGCAUAUCAAUA